UACGUAGGGUGCGAGCGUUAAUCGGAAUUACUGGGCGUAAAGCGUGCGCAGGCGGCGCGUUAAGACAGGUGUGAAAGCCCCGAGCUUAACUUGGGAAUUGCGCUUGUGACUGGCGUGCUGGAGUGUGGCAGAGGGAGGUGGAAUUCCACGUGUAGCAGUGAAAUGCGUAGAGAUGUGGAGGAACACCAGUGGCGAAGGCGACUACCUGGCCUGUUCUUGACGCUGAGGCGCGAAAGCUAGGGGAGCAAACGGG
rnacentral:rRNA from 1 species